AGGUUGUUGCUAUCAUCUUGCUUUUGCAUACAUGUUGCUACAAGUGCUUAACAAAUUCUCUCAUUACAGAUGUUUUUGGGCACAUUACUGGAAUACAACCAUUGGAACAAAAAAUGGUGGGCAAUGAAAGGCUUGAGGAUAAAUGUGAAGUCUGCAUCGAAAAUAUCAGGAAAGAAGAUGUUAGAAUAACCCUGUGGGGAAAUACUGCAAAAACUUUUGAUUCCCAAGCUUUACAACAAUUGACAUCACCAAUAUUUGCAGCUUUUACAAGCCUGAAAGUUAAACAAU